GGGCGUAAGGGCUCGUAGGCGGUUUCUUAAGUCUGAUGUGAAAGCCCACAGCUCAACUGUGGAGGGUCAUUGGAAACUGGGGAACUUGAGUGCACAAGAGGAGAGUGGAAUUCCACGUGUAGCGGUGAAAUGCGUAGAUAUGUGGAGGAACACCAGUGGCGAAGGCGACUCUCUGGUCUGUAACUGACGCUGAGGAGCGAAAGCGUGGGGAGCAAACAGGAUUAGAUACCCUGGUAGUCCACGCCGUAAACGAUGAGUGCUAGGUGUUAGGGGGUUUCCGCCCCUUAGUGCUGAAGUUAACGCAUUAAGCACUCCGCCUGGGGAGUACGGCCGCAAGGCUGAAACUCAAAAGAAUUGACGGGGGCCCGCACAAGCGGUGGAGCAUGUGGUUUAAUUCGAAUCUACGCGAAGAACCUUACCAGGUCUUGACAUCCGGUGAGGGCUCUGGAGACAGAGCGUUCCCUUCGGGGACAGCGUGACAGGUGGUGCAUGGUUGUCGUCAGCUCGUGUCGUGAGAUGUUGGGUUAAGUCCCGCAACGAGCGCAACCCUUGAUUCUAGUUGC
rnacentral:rRNA from 1 species